rnacentral:hammerhead_ribozyme from 1 species
GCGCUGCUGAGGAGUUCCACAAAUAGGACGAAAUGGCCAUCCAGUGC